GAUGAACGCUGGCGGCGUGCCUAAUACAUGCAAGUAGAACGCUGAAGGAGGAGCUUGCUCUUCUGGAUGAGUUGCGAACGGGUGAGUAACGCGUAGGUAACCUGCCUGGUAGCGGGGGAUAACUAUUGGAAACGAUAGCUAAUACCGCAUGACAACAGUUAUUGCAUGAUAACUGUUUAAAAGGGGCAACUGCUCCACUACCAGAUGGACCUGCGUUGUAUUAGCUAGUUGGUGAGGUAACGGCACACCAAGGCGGCGAUCCAUAGCCGACCUGAGAGGGUGAUCGGCCACACUGGGACUGAGACACGGCCCAGACUCCUGCGGGAGGCAGCAGUAGGGAAUCUUCGGCAAUUGGCCGAAGUCUGACCCCACCACUCCGCGUGAGGGAAGAAGGGUUUCGGAUCGUAAAGCUCUGUUGUAAGAGAAGAACGAGUGUGAGAUUGGAAACUUCACACUGUGACGGUAUCUUACCAGAAAGGGACGGCUAACUACGUG
rnacentral:rRNA from 1 species